UGUCUGUCCUUUAUAAACGGCGAUUGAAGCGGCAAAAGCUCAAAUUUGAAAUCUGGCACUUUCAGUGUAGAGAAGUAAUUUGAAGAAGGUAUCUUUGGGUCUGGCUCUUGUCUAUGUUUCUUGGAACAGAACGUCACAGAGGGUGAGAAUCCCGUGCGAUGAGAUGUCCCAGACCUAUGUAAAGUUCCUUCGAAGAGUCGAGUUGUUUGGGAAUGCAGCUCUAAGUGGGUGGUAAAUUCCAUCUAAAGCUAAAUAUUGGCGAGAGACCGAUAGCGAACAAGUACAGUGAUGGAAAGAUGAAAAGAACUUUGAAAAGAGAGUGAAAAAGUACGUGAAAUUGUUGAAAGGGAAGGGCUUGAGAUCAGACUUGGUAUUUUGUAUGUUACUCUCUCGGGGGUGGCCUCUACAGUUUACCGGGCCAGCAUCAGUUUGAGCGGUAGGAUAAGUGCAAAGAAAUGUGGCACUGCUUCGGUAGUGUGUUAUAGUCUUUGUCGAUACUGCCAGCUUAGACUGAGGACUGCGGCUUCGGCCUAGGAUGUUGGCAUAAUGAUCUUAAGUCGCCCGUCUUGAAACACGGACCAC
rnacentral:rRNA from 1 species